rnacentral:lncRNA from 1 species
AUGGAAAAAGCAGGAGAGUUCCAGAAAAAAUUCUAUUUCUGCUUUAUUGACUAUGCCAAAGCCUUUGACUGUGUGGAUCACAAUAAACUGUGGGAAAUUCUGAGAGAGAUGGGAAUACCAGACCACCUGACCUGCCUCUUGAGAAAUCUGUAUGCAGGUCAGGAAGCAACAGUUAGAACUGGACGUGGAACAACAGACUGGUUCCAAAAAGGAAAAGGAGUACGUCAAGGCUGUAUAUUGUCACCCUGCUUAUUUAACUUAUAUGCAGAGUACAUAAUGAGAAACGCUGGGCUGGAAGAAACACAAGCUGGAAUCAAGAUUGCCAGGAGAAAUAUCAAUCACCUCAGAUAUGCAGAUGACACCACCCUUAUGGCAGAAAGUGAAGAAGAACUAAAAAGCCUCUUGAUGAAAGUGAAAGAGGAGAGUGAAAAAGUUGGCUUAAAGCUCAACAUUCAGAAAAUGAAGAUCAUGGCAUCUGGUCCCAUCACUUCACAGCAAAUACAUGGGGAAACAGUGUCAGAUUUUAUUUUUUUGGGCUCCAAAAUCACUGCAGAUGGUGACUGCAGCCAUGAAAUUAAAAGACACUUACUCCUUGGAAGGAAAGUUAUGACCAACCUAGAUAGCAUAUUCAAAAGCAGAGAUAUUACUUUGCCGACUAAGGUCCAUCUAGUCAAGGCUAUGGUUUUUCCUGUGGUCAUGUAUGGAUGUGAGAGUUGGACUGUGAAGAAAGCUGAGCGCCAAAGAAUUGAUGCUUUUGAACUGUGGUGUUGGAGAAGACUCUUGAGAGUCCCUUGGACUGCAAGGAGAUCCAACCAGUCCAUUCUGAAGGAGAUCAGCCUUGGGAUUUCUUUGGAAGGAAUGAUGCUAAAGCGGAAACUCCAGUACUUUGGCCACCUCAUGCGAAGAGUUGACUCGUUGGAAAAGACUCUGAUGCUGGGAGGGAUUGGGGGCAGGAGGAGAAGGGGACGACCGAGGAUGAGAUGGCUGGAUGGCAUCAUGGACUCGAUGGACGUGAGUCUGAGUGAACUCCGGGAGUUGGUGAUGGACAGGGAGGCCUGGCGUGCUGCGAUUCAUGGGGUCGCAAAGAGUCAGACACGACUGAGCGACUGA